GAUGAACGCUGGCGGCGUGCCUAAUACAUGCAAGUCGAGCGAACAGACGAGGAGCUUGCUCCUCUGACGUUAGCGGCGGACGGGUGAGUAACACGUGGAUAACCUACCUAUAAGACUGGGAUAACUUCGGGAAACCGGAGCUAAUACCGGAUAAUAUAUUGAACCGCAUGGUUCAAUAGUGAAAGACGGUUUUGCUGUCACUUAUAGAUGGAUCCGCGCCGCAUUAGCUAGUUGGUAAGGUAACGGCUUACCAAGGCAACGAUGCGUAGCCGACCUGAGAGGGUGAUCGGCCACACUGGAACUGGGACACGGUCCAGACUCCUACGGGAGGGAGCAGUAGGGAAUCUUCCGCAAUGGGCGAAAGCCUGACGGAGCAACGCCGCGUGAGUGAUGAAGGUCUUCGGAUCGUAAAACUCUGUUAUUAGGGAAGAACAAAUGUGUAAGUAACUAUGCACGUCUUGACGGUACCUAAUCAGAAAGCCACGGCUAACUACGUG
rnacentral:rRNA from 1 species